UAGAGUUUGGAUCUGGCUCAGGAUGAACGCUGGCGGCGUGCCUAAUACAUGCAAGUCGAGCGAACAGACGAGGAGCUUGCUCCUCUGACGUUAGCGGCGGACGGGUGAGUAACACGUGGAUAACCUACCUAUAAGACUGGGAUAACUUCGGGAAACCGGAGCUAAUACCGGAUAAUAUAUUGAACCGCAUGGUUCAAUAGUGAAAGACGGUUUUGCUGUCACUUAUAGAUGGAUCCGCGCCGCAUUAGCUAGUUGGUAAGGUAACGGCUUACCAAGGCAACGAUGCGUAGCCGACCUGAGAGGGUGAUCGGCCACACUGGAACUGAGACACGGUCCAGACUCCUACGGGAGGCAGCAGUAGGGAAUCUUCCGCAAUGGGCGAAAGCCUGACGGAGCAACGCCGCGUGAGUGAUGAAGGUCUUCGGAUCGUAAAACUCUGUUAUUAGGGAAGAACAAAUGUGUAAGUAACUAUGCACGUCUUGACGGUACCUAAUCAGAAAGCCACGGCUAACUACGUGCCAGCCGCCCGGGUAAU
rnacentral:rRNA from 1 species